UAAAAAAGACGGCCCCUCUCUCCCUCCUCACCGGUGGUCACAGAUCCGCCGGGGAAGAAAUGGACGUGCAGCAUUGACGCACUCGUCGUCGGCGAGCGAGGUCACGCACUGACGACAAGGCCAUCCUCUCAGACCUCGCGCCCGCGCAGGAUGGCCUCCGUCCCCAAGCUCGCUGCCAUAGUGUGUGCGGAGGACGACGACCACGAGUGAAGCCACUUCCCGCCGACCCUCAGACAAUUAUGAAGACAAGAGGAAAGGUCAAGAGUGGGCACCUACUCCUCCGGCUGUUCUCUUGAGGAGUGUCACUGAAUUGUCAAGGCGGUGAUGGCAUUUUAUUUUAGUAGAACUGCACAAAAUUUUCUUAAAAGAAGAGGAAAGGUCAGGAAUGGCUCAGUUAUUCAGAAAAAACUACUGGAUGCUCGAUUUUAGUCGAACUGCACAAAAAGUCCAACUGGUUCAACAUUAGGAGCAUGUUUUUUUUCCAAACCUUUAUAUCCAAUUGGUGGCACUAUGAGCUGUUCAUUAUGAAG